GACGAACGCUGGCGGCGUGCCUAAUACAUGCAAGUAGAACGCUGAAGAGAGGAGCUUACUCUUCUUGGAUGAGUUGCGAACGGGUGAGUAACGCGUAGGUAACCUGCCUUGUAGCGGGGGAUAACUAUUGGAAACGAUAGCUAAUACCGCAUAACAAUGGGUGACACAUGUCAUUUAUUUGAAAGGGGCAAUUGCUCCACUACAAGAUGGACCUGCGUUGUAUUAGCUAGUAGGUGAGGUAAUGGCUCACCUAGGCGACGAUACAUAGCCGACCUGAGAGGGUGAUCGGCCACACUGGGACUGAGACACGGCCCAGACUCCUACGGGAGGCAGCAGUAGGGAAUCUUCGGCAAUGGGGGCAACCCUGAACGAGCAACGCCGCGGGAGGGAAGAAGGGUUUCGGAUCGUAAAGCUCUGUUGUAAGUCAAGAAAGGGUGUGAGAGUGGAAAGUUCACACUGUGACGGUAGCUUACCAGAAAGGGACGGCUAACUACGUG
rnacentral:rRNA from 1 species